GUAGUAAUAAUUUAAAAUAAAAAUAAAGGUCUUGUAAACCAAAAAUGAAAUAUAAAACUUUCUUACUAUU
rnacentral:tRNA from 1 species